rnacentral:rRNA from 1 species
UACGUAGGGUGCAAGCGUUGUCCGGAAUUAUUGGGCGUAAAGCGCGCGUAGGCGGUUACUUAAGUCGGAUGUGAAAGCCCUCGGCUUAACUGAGGAAGUGCACCCGAAACUGAGUAGCUAGAGUACGAAAGAGGGUCGCGGAAUUCCCGGUGUAGAGGUGAAAUUCGUAGAUAUCGGGAGGAACACCGGUGGCGAAGGCGGCGACCUGGGUCGAGACUGACGCUGAGGCGCGAAAGCGUGGGGAGCAAACAGG